rnacentral:misc_RNA from 1 species
GAAUUGCGAUAAGUAAUGUGAAUUGCAGAAUUACGUGAAUCAUCGAAUCUUUGAACGCAUAUUGCACUCUCUGGUAAUCCGGGGAGUAUGCCUGUUUGAGGGUCAGUAAAUAAUAAUUAUCAUGAAAUCUCUUUUGAUUUUAUGGAAUUGGGCUUUUAUUUCGAUAGAUCUAUGGCCUUAAAUUUACGUUACGGGCUUGUCAUAUAAAAUCUGAUAUCUAAAGGAGCAAUUAAACAUUCUCUCAUUUUAUAGCGGAUUUUACAAGCCGUUACGAUUUUUGGUUGCUUCACACUUUUACGAGCGCGAAACCAAGAUCGUAAGUUUACUCUAACAAUGACCUCAAAUCAGGCAAGAAUACCCGCUGAACUUAA